AGAGUUUGAUCAUGGCUCAGAUUGAACGCUGGCGGCAGGCCUAACACAUGCAAGUCGAGCGGUAGAGAGAAGCUUGCUUCUCUUGAGAGCGGCGGACGGGUGAGUAAUGCCUAGGAAUCUGCCUGGUAGUGGGGGAUAACGCUCGGAAACGGACGCUAAUACCGCAUACGUCCUACGGGAGAAAGCAGGGGACCUUCGGGCCUUGCGCUAUCAGAUGAGCCUAGGUCGGAUUAGCUAGUUGGUGAGGUAAUGGCUCACCAAGGCGACGAUCCGUAACUGGUCUGAGAGGAUGAUCAGUCACCACUGGAACUGAGACACGGUCCAGACUACAUACGGGAGGCAGCAGUGGGGAAUAUUGGACAAUGGGCGAAAGCCUGAUCCAGCCAUGCCGCGUGUGUGAAGAAGGUCUUCGGAUUGUAAAGCACUUUAAGUUGGGAGGAAGGGCAGUAAAUUAAUACUUUGCUGUUUUGACGUUACCGACAGAAUAAGCACCGGCUAANUUCUGUGCCAGCAGCCGCGGUAAUACAGAGGGUGCAAGCGUUAAUCGGAAUUACUGGGCGUAAAGCGCGCGUAGGUGGUUCGUUAAGUUGGAUGUGAAAUCCCCGGGCUCAACCUGGGAACUGCAUUCAAAACUGUCGAGCUAGAGUAUGGUAGAGGGUGGUGGAAUUUCCUGUGUAGCGGUGAAAUGCGUAGAUAUAGGAAGGAACACCAGUGGCGAAGGCGACCACNUGGANUGAUACUGACACUGAGGUGNGAAAGCGUGGGGAGCAAACAGGAUUAGAUACCCUGGUAGUCCACCGCCGUAAACGAUGUCAACUAGCCGUUGGGAGCCUUGAGCUCUUAGUGGCGCAGCUAACGCAUUAAGUUGACCGCCUGGGGAGUACGGCCGCAAGGUUAAAANUCAAAUGAAUUGACGGGGGCCCGCACAAGCGGUGGAGCAUGUGGUUUAAUUCGAAGCAACGCGAAGAACCUUACCAGGCCUUGACAUCCAAUGAACUUUCCAGAGAUGGAUUGGUGCNUUCGGGAACAUUGAGACAGGUGCUGCAUGGCUGUCGUCAGCUCGUGUCGUGAGUGACNUCAANUCAUCAUGGCCCUUACGGCCUGGGCUACACACGUGCUACAAUGGUCGGUACAGAGGGUUGCCAAGCCGCGAGGUGGAGCUAAUCCCAGAAAACCGAUCGUAGUCCGGAUCGCAGUCUGCAACUCGACUGCGUGAAGUCGGAAUCGCUAGUAAUCGCGAAUCAGAAUGUCGCGGUGAAUACGUUCCCGGGCCUUGUACACACCGCCCGUCACACCAUGGGAGUGGGUUGCACCAGAAGUAGCUAGUCUAACCCUCGGGAGGACGGUUACCACGGUGUGAUUCAUGACUGGGGUGAAGUCGUAACAAGGUAGCCGUAGGGGAACCUGCGGCUGGAUCACCUCCUUAAGCU
rnacentral:rRNA from 1 species